GACGAACGCUGGCGGCGUGCCUAAUACAUGCAAGUAGAACGCUGAAGAGAGGAGCUUGCUCUUCUUGGAUGAGUUGCGAACGGGUGAGUAACGCGUAGGUAACCUGCCUUGUAGCGGGGGAUAACUAUUGGAAACGAUAGCUAAUACCGCAUAACAAUGGAUGACACAUGUCAUUUAUUUGAAAGGGGCAAUUGCUCCACUACAAGAUGGACCUGCGUUGUAUUAGCUAGUAGGUGAGGUAACGGCUCACCUAGGCGACGAUACAUAGCCGACCUGAGAGGGUGAUCGGCCACACUGGGACUGAGACACGGCCCAGACUCCUACGGGAGGCAGCAGUAGGGGAUCUUCGGCAAUGGGGGCAGCCCUGACCGAGCAACGCCGCGUGAGUGAAGAAGGUUUUCGGGUCGUAAAGCUCUGUUGUAAGUCAAGAACGAGUGUGAGAGUGGAAAGUUCACACUGUGACGGUAGCUUACCAGAAAGGGACGGCUAACUACGUGCCAGCAGCCGCGGUAAUACGUAGGUCCCGAGCGUUGUCCGGAUUUAUUGGGCGUAAAGCGAGCGCAGGCGGUUCGAUAAGUCUGAAGUUAAAGGCUGUGGCUCAACCAUAGUUCGCUUUGGAAACUGUCAAACUUGAGUGCAGAAGGGGAGAGUGGGAAUUCCAUGUGUAGCGGUGAAAUGCGUAGAUAUAUGGAGGAACACCGGUGGCGAAAGCGGCUCUCUGGGUCUGUAACUGAGGCGAGGCUCGAAGGGCGGGCAGCCAACAGG
rnacentral:rRNA from 1 species